rnacentral:pre_miRNA from 12 species
GCUCCUGCUCCACCUCUCUCCGUGUCCUGCCAGUGGUUUUACCCUAUGGUAGGUUACGUCAUGCUGUUCUACCACAGGGUAGAACCACGGACAGGAUGCCGGGGCUGCCUCCACGUCUGAGG